rnacentral:lncRNA from 1 species
GGAAAUACGGGCUAAAAGUGUAGAUCCCUGCUAGUGAGUUUGUUUCUACAUGACAAAACAUAACAGGAGACAUGCCUGAAUAACAGCAGCCAGGUAAGAGUCCUUGCUCUAAUUCUCCUUCUCAAUGUGGUGGAGUUGUUAUUUCCCCUCCAUUAUUUACUCGUGUAGCUCCUGACUGGGCCAUGCAGCAACACAGGGCCCAGGGGUUUGGGGGAAUUAAACCCAGCUGGAUCCAACGCAGGUCUGCUCUCAGAUGAUUCCUGAGUUCAUGAAUCUGCAAACCAAGAUCUCCAAGGUGCCUGCAGCAGGAUGGGCUCCAGCUCUGAAUC